rnacentral:rRNA from 1 species
UACAGAGGGGGCAAGCGUUGUUCGGAAUUACUGGGCGUAAAGGGCGCGUAGGCGGCCUGUUAAGUCGAACGUGAAAUCCCCGGGCUCAACCCGGGAACUGCGUCCGAUACUGGCAGGCUUGAAUCCGGGAGAGGGAUGCGGAAUUCCAGGUGUAGCGGUGAAAUGCGUAGAUAUCUGGAGGAACACCGGUGGCGAAGGCGGCAUCCUGGACCGGCAUUGACGCUGAGGCGCGAAAGCCAAGGGAGCAAACGGG